CCUACGGGUGGCAGCAGUGAGGAAUAUUGGUCAAUGGGCGGAAGCCUGAACCAGCCAAGUAGCGUGCGGGAUGAAGGCCCUACGGGUCGUAAACCGCUUUUGCACGGGGAUAACACCCUCCACUUGUGGAGGUCUGCAGGUACCGUGCGAAUAAGGGCCGGCUAAUUCCGUGCCAGCAGCCGCGGUAAUACGGAAGGCCCGAGCGUUAUCCGGAUUCAUUGGGCUUAAAGGGAGCGUAGGCGGGCGUUCAAGUCAGCUGUAAAAUCGCGCGGCUCAACCGCGCCCCGCAGUUGACACUGGACGCCUUGAGUUCACAACAGGCAGGCGGAAUGCGUGGUGUAGCGGUGAAAUGCAUAGAUAUCACGAGGAACCCCGAUUGCGAAGGCAGCCUGCCAAGCCAUGACUGACGCUGAUGCACGAAAGCGUGGGGAUCAAACAGGAUUAGAUACCCCAGUAGUC
rnacentral:rRNA from 1 species